GUCGGUUGUACCGGAAGUCGGUGCGCCAACCCGCAAGGGGGGUAGCURCCCCCAUGGUAUGGCUGGCAAUUGGGGUGAAGUCGUAACAAGGUAGCUGUAGGUGAACCUGCAGAAGGAUCA
rnacentral:rRNA from 1 species